rnacentral:rRNA from 1 species
CAGACUUGCCCGUAGUUGCUCACCCGGACUUUUGCCCGGGGCACUCUUCUGCGGGCAGGCCAGCAUCGGUUUGGGCGACCGGAUAACGGCCUCUGUCACGUACCAUCCCUCGGGAUGGCCUUAUAGGGGAGGCGUAAUGCGGCCAGCCUGGACUGAGGUCCGCGCAUCUGCUAGGAUGCUGGCGUAAUGGCUGUAAGCGGCCCGUCUUGAAACACGGACCAAGGAGUCUAACAUAU